AGAAAAACUGAAAAAUGCAAAGAAAUGGAUUAAGGUCCCGGCCAUCCUCCGUCCUUAGACUCUCCUUCUCAGAAAGGAAAAACUCCAAAAACCCAGUGGGAAAAGAGAAACGUCAGGGAGAACCACAGUGAAGGAGAGAUCCACUCCCAUGGAUGGACAGA